AUAUUGGUGAGAGACCGAUAGCGAACAAGUACCGUGAGGGAAAGAUGAAAAGCACUUUGGAAAGAGAGUUAAACAGUACGUGAAAUUGUUGAAAGGGAAACGAUUGAAGUCAGUCAUGUCGGUUGGUUUCAGCUUGUUCUACAAGUGUAUUACCUUCCGACGGGUCAACAUCAGUUUUGGUGCGGUGGAUAAGGGCGAAUUGAAGGUAGCACCCUCGGGUGUGUUAUAGCUUUUCGUCGCAUACGCUGCCUGAGACUGAGGACUGCAGCUCGCCGCAAGGCCGCCCUUCGGGGACGUUCGAGCUUAGGAUGUUGGCAUAAUGGCUUUAAACGACCCGUCUUGAAACACGGACC
rnacentral:rRNA from 1 species